GCGUGUAAAACAUUGUGGUGAUGUGGCUGCUUUCCACGCAGUCUAGCUGGGUUCGAUUCCCGGUACGCGCUCCA
rnacentral:tRNA from 1 species